rnacentral:rRNA from 1 species
ACGCUGGCGGCAGGCCUAACACAUGCAAGUCGAGCGGCAGCGGGAAAGUAGCUUGCUACUUUUGCCGGCGAGCGGCGGACGGGUGAGUAAUGCCUGGGAAAUUGCCCAGUCGAGGGGGAUAACAGUUGGAAACGACUGCUAAUACCGCAUACGCCCUACGGGGGAAAGCAGGGGACCUUCGGGCCUUGCGCGAUUGGAUAUGCCCAGGUGGGAUUAGCUUGUUGGUGAGGUAAUGGCUCACCAAGGCGACGAUCCCUAGCUGGUCUGAGAGGAUGAUCAGCCACACUGGAACUGAGACACGGUCCAGACUCCUACGGGAGGCAGCAGUGGGGAAUAUUGCACAAUGGGGGAAACCCUGAUGCAGCCAUGCCGCGUGUGUGAAGAAGGCCUUCGGGUUGUAAAGCACUUUCAGCGAGGAGGAAAGGUUGAUACCUAAUACNUNUCAGCUGUGACGUUACUCGCAAAANAAGCACCGGCUAACUCCGUGCC